UCUCCGUUGGUGAACCAGCGGAGGGAUCAUUACCGAGUUAUCAACUCCCAAACCCCUGUGAAUAUACCCAACGUUGCUUCGGCGGGACCGCCCCGGCGCCCUCGGCGUCCCGGAACCAGGCGCCCGCCGGAGGACCCAAACUCUUGUUUAAACCAUAGUGGCAUAUUCUGAGUCUCACAAGAAAAGUGAAUCAAAACUUUCAACAACGGAUCUCUUGGCUCUG
rnacentral:misc_RNA from 1 species